rnacentral:lncRNA from 1 species
GGAUGAAGGGGAAGUCAGUCUCUCCACUGGCAAAGGAGAAAGGCCAGCAGCACUAGUGCCCUGUGCCUGAAGCCAACCUUUGGGAAGACUUAGCCUGUAUUUCGGAGCAUAUGCACACUCAACACAGUAGUGGUGCCUGUGUCAAAGCCUGUACAGCUUGCUGUGCAUUUCAUCAGCAUUUACAUUUAAGUUAAUGGAUUUCAACACGUGGAAAUCUGAGAUCAGCAAUUAUGUAUUUAUGGUGUGGGAAGACUCACUGGAAGCG